rnacentral:lncRNA from 1 species
AAACAGACCCAUUCAGGAACAAGAAAAUACCAUCGCGGUUUGGAUUAAAUCUCGAUGAAAGAAUACAUCAAUGAGAAGUUAAUUCGAUAAGUUUAAUGACCCUUUCUUAUAACUUCGAAUUUUAUAAUAGAAAAUAUCAAAAAGGAGUAAAAACUCGUCUUUAUUGAAAAAUCGAAGAAAAGCCCUUUCGUUAGAAGUAAGAAAGAACCCUUGUAGAAAAAAAGAAAGAGGACUGGAAUCUCUACAUUGAUUCACAAUUUUUUUGAACCGUAUGCAUCAAAAGGCGCAUGUACGGUUCCUAAGGGAUACAAUUUUACCCUAAUCAACCGACUUUAUCGAGAAAGAUUACUUUUUUUAGGCCAAGGGAUUGGUACCGAGCUUUCGAAUCAACUUAUUGGUCUUAUGUUGUAUCUCAGUAUGGAGGAUGAGAACAAAGACCUGUAUUUGUUUGUAAACUCUCCUGGGGGCUGGGUAAUACCUGGGAUCGCCAUUUAUGAUACUAUGCAAUUUGUGCGACCAGAUAUCCAUACAAUAUGCCUAGGAUUAGCUGCUUCAAUGGGAUCUUUUAUCCUGGCCGGAGGACAACUUACCAAACGUAUAGCAUUCCCUCACGCUUGGCGCCAAUGAGGUUUUUAUUUGAGAGAAAAAAGAAGACUAUGCCUUCGCCAUAUGAAUACUAAGUAAUAAUAGCAUGGCACUUCGAAUUCGAUAUGAGAAAUUUUUGUAUUGUUUUUUUUUUUCAAAACAUUAGAUUCUGUAUCGAGAGAGUAGUAUGAGAUAAGGGGUAUUUCCGAUUUUCUAUUAUAUAUCGGGAGUUCAGUUCAGCGUCACAAACUUUUUGUUUUCAUGCCGGAGAGUUCUUAACAAUAUUUAUGUUAUGAAAGAGUACGAAAAAAAAAUAAUUUUUCCUUAUUUGAUCGGAUUAAAAAGAAACUUUGGGAUUGCUGAAUCACAGACAAAAAAAAGAAAAAAUAAACAUAUAAAGCAACGGAGCCAUCAUAGUAUUUUUGAAUUCCUCCGAAAGGAAGGAUGGCAAUUUGAUUAUUUACCCAUCUGAGUCUGAUAGAUUCUAUUUUUCUCUUUCUUCAAUGGGGGUCAAUUUUCUUGUAGAGCCGUAUGCACAAAAGAUGCCUGUACGGUUGUUCAAUUCUAUCUUUUUUCUAUUCUUUAUCUUUCUUUUUUCUUUGCUUUAUCAUGCGAGAUAGGGGAAGCUUUUAUUUUGUUAUAUCAUCAGGGUAAUGAUACAUGAACCUUAUAGUGGUUUUUAUAUGGCACAAGUAGGCGAAUUUGUCCUGGAAGCGAUAGAAAUGGCGAAACUGCGUGAAACCCUCACAAGGGUUUAUGCAGAAAAAACGGGCCAACCCGUGUGGGUUAUACACGAAGAUAUGGAAAGAGAUAUUUUUAUGUCAGCAACAGAAGCCCAAGCUUAUGGAAUUGUUGAUUUUGUAGCGGUUCAAGGAAAAGAACAUGGAUUUCACGCAGAUCUAUGAUUUGAGAUUUUAUCUUCGAAUUGAAUAUUCUAUUAAAUAGAAGUAAUUCACCAUCAUUCGGUUAGGAUCAAUCUAAACCAACCCAUCAUAUUAUGUAUACGAUUCAACAUGCCAACUAUUAAACAACUUAUUAGAAAUACAAGACAGCCAAUCAGAAAUGUCACGAAAUCCCCCGCUCUUCGGGGGUGCCCUCAGCGUCGAGGAACAUGUACUAGGGUGUAUGUGCGACUCGUUUAGAUCAUGAGCUGGCACAAAAAGCAAGAAAACUACUUUUACAGUAUCAAUGAUCAGUACCGGUGAAUGGGAUAGGAUGGAAAAAGGAACUCCAUCCAUUAUAAAAAAAAAACUCUACCAUAUCCCUCUAUUGUGUAUGAAGUUUAUGGUUUCCGUUGGUGUAAAUCCAAUCACCUGAAUUUAAGAUGAUAAGAAAUUCUCCAUUGGUAACAAAUGGUUAUCCAUUAAGCGGAGGAAAUCUUAUUUAAAAAGCAUAAAACAUAAAGAUUAGGUAGGCUCCCAAUCUGGCAAGAACGGACUAAGAGGGUCAGCUACCCAGCAAACUUUCAUAAUUAAAUACCGUUACUGUAUAGGUAGAUCUGAUUGUGAAAGACCUAUUACUGGACAAUUCAUGGGUAGAGCCAAAGCGUGUGAACUAUACAAGUUCCCAAUAACAUCAAUUAGUUGAUUAAAUAUUAAAAAUUAAAGUAUAAAGUAAAGGCUCCGGUGUAUAGAGAAGACCUCACCGUUUAAGAAGUAACCAUAGAAACGAAGGAACCCACUAUUUCUUUUUUUAUUUCUUUUAUUUACUAUAUUUUUGAUACCUAGGAAAAUACAAUUUCUUAGUUCUGUCUUAUUUCGCAGUGAAAUACCUAAAAAAAAUCGUGGUCGGGAAGGUUAGAGUAGCCAAAGCCAUUGGAAUUUUGAUUUUAUACAUUGGAAAAAUCCGUUUUGUUAUUAAUAGACUAGGAAGGGGGAAAAGAAUAACUGAAAGAAAGGCAAUCAAUUAGUUAUUC